rnacentral:lncRNA from 1 species
CUUUCAAUGCCUUCAUGUUUCAAUAAUUCAUUGAAGUGAUGAGACAAAUACUCACCUCGUGUUGAAGGAAAGAACUCAUUUAGUUGUUGCUAAUGGUCAAUAGAGUAUAUAAGUAAUGAGGGAUAUCCUACAAGGUUAGUUGCUGGUCUAUAGUGCCUUAGAAUACAAGGAGAGGGCUGGUCCUAAGAGAUAUCCCAUAUGGGUUGUAACACAUGGUACCUUGGUACUAGUAUAUAAGAAAAGGGUUUGCAUGGGAAGAAUCAUCUCAUACCACAUUCUAUUUGUGAAGUGCAACCUUGCUGGUCCUAACUUGCUUGUGUGGAGUUUGCUUUCUAUGUUUCAAUAGGUUAUGGGCCCACACUCUCUUACCAAGUAAGUUGUUCUUGCAUUAUUUCUUUGUUGCUUACUUUGGUGGUUGGGAUCUUGUGGUAGAGUGUUGCUAGUGUGUUGUUGAAGUCAUUGCUCCUGGAUUUGUGAGUAUAUGAGUUUUGUGCAAGACCUUGAUAGUGUCUUUGCUGAAGUAACACUAGUGUUUGAAAGUUUUAUGAGAUAGUGAGUCAUUUUGAGUGGAGUGACGUGAGGGAGACUUAUGAGAGCCAUAGAAUUACUUUACAAUUCAUUCCCCACCAUUUAGACGUGAUUUGGACUCAUAAUUUACAAAAAGUUGCAAAACAGCGAAUUCUGGGUUUGUGGUUCAGCGAUCUUUGAGUAGUGAUAUCUUCUCCAUUACAACUCCAAAUCAAGAGUUUUUUGGACCUACGUGUAGCUUGAGAUGGCAUCUUUUGAGGGUGAUAGCUUGAGAAUGGUUGAAAAGUUCAAAGGUGACAACUUUCACCACUGGAAGGCCAAAAUGGAGCUACUUUUGGCGUCAUUGGAUCUUUGGGAGAUUGUAUGUGAGGAGGAAGAGGCACCUGGGGUAGAGGCAAGCAUCAAGGAGCAUAAGGAGUUCAAAAGACGAGAAAAGAAGGCUUUUGGCAUAAUUGCCACCAAUUUAGAUGAGAGCAACUUUGCUCAUGUUAUUUCUUGCAAAGGGGCAGCAGAGGCAUGGAAGACUCUUUGCAACGUCUAUGAGAGUAGAAAUCUCUCCAAUGUACUAUGGUCAAGGCAAAAAUUCUUCACCGUGAAGAUGGAAGAAGGUGAAGAUCUCAUGGCUCAUGUGAAUAAGGUAAAAGCACUUGCAAACCAACUUGCUGUUAUUGACAAGCCUUUACAUGAAGAAGAUGUUGUGAUGACAUUGCUCUCAAGCCUUCCGGACUCCUAUUCCUCCCUCAUUGUGGCAUUGGAGUCAAUUUCAAGAAAAGAUCUUACUUUGGACUAUGUCACGGCAAGACUAGCCCAUGAAGUGACCAAAAGAAAGCAAAAGGAGUCUAUUGGAGAGCAAUCAGCACUAUUCACGAGACCAAGUAAGGCAAGUACUUCCAUUCAACAUAAUCUUCCCAAAACUUGUUAUAUUUGUGGAAAACCAGGGCAUUUUGCUAGGAAUUGUUUCAAGGCAAAGAGAGGAGAAAGAGAGAAUGCCAAUAAUGCUUUUCAUGACCAUGGAGGUGAUGACUUUGCAUUCAUGGCAAACAACAUAGGACACCAUUUCCUAGUGGAAUUGCAACAAGAGCAAAUCAAUUGCUGGAGCUUGUGCAUUCGGAUGUUUGUGGACCCAUGAAAACACCAUCUAUGAGUGGAGCAAGAUAUUUUGUCACAUUUAUUGAUGACUUUUCAAGGAAGGUAUGGAUUUAUAUCAUCAAGGCCAAAAGUGAGUGUUUUGCUAAGUUUAAGGAGUGGAAAGCACUUGUGGAGAAGCAAUGUGAGCACAAGAUUAAGGUGCUGCGAUCGGACAAUGGAGGUGAGUAUUUGUCCAAAGACUUUGAUGAGUUAUUGAAGCAUGAAGGCAUUGCAAGACACACCUCCACUCCCUAUACCCCACAACAAAAUGGAGUUGCUGAAAGAGCAAAUCGCACCAUUGUGGAGAUGGCAAGGAGUAUGAUUCAUGCUCAAAAGCUUGGAUAUGAGUAUUGGGCGGAAGCUGUGGUAAAUGCCGUAUAUACAAGAAAUAGGUGUCCCUCAAGUGCAUUUGAAGGAAUGACUCCCGAAGAAGCUUGGACUGGUAAGAAACCUUGUUUAUCUCAUAUGAGGAUUUUUGGAUGCAUUGCAUAUCUUCACUUUGAGAAUGUUCUUCUUCAUCUUCUUGUUUGUUUGUUGGAGUUGAAGAUGUGUCCACAAACACACCACUACUCCCACUUGGACACAUCUCCCACUUUUCACUACCACUCUUAUGCUCCAAGAACUCUACAUCACGACUUUUGAUGAUCUUUUUGGUAUCUAAACACAUGAGCCUAUAUGCCUUGGUGCCUUCACAAUAACCAAGGAAUAUACAUCUUGUGCCUUUUGCAUCAAGUUUGCCUCUCAUACUAUCUGGAACCUUGGCAUAUGCAAUGCAUCCAAAAGACCUCAUGUGAGAUAUGCAAGGUUUCUUACUAGUCCAAUCUUCUUGGGGAGUCAUUCCUUCAAGUGCACUUGUGGGACACCUAUUUCUUGUAUACACGGCAUUUACCACAGCUUCCGCCCAAUACUCAUACCCAAGUUUUUGAGCAUGAAGCAUACUCCUAGCCAUCUCCACAAUGGUGCGAUUUGCUCUUUCAGCAACUCUAUUUUGUUGUGGGGUGUAGGGAGUGGAGGUUUGUCUUUCAAUGCCUUCAUGUUUCAAUAAUUCAUUGAAGUGAUGAGACAAAUACUCACCUCGUGUUGAAGGAAAGAACUCAUUUAGUUGUUGCUAAUGGUCAAUAGAGUAUAUAAGUAAUGAGGGAUAUCCUACAAGGUUAGUUGCUGGUCUAUAGUGCCUUAGAAUACAAGGAGAGGGCUGGUCCUAAGAGAUAUCCCAUAUGGGUUGUAACACAUGGUACCUUGGUACUAGUAUAUAAGAAAAGGGUUUGCAUGGGAAGAAUCAUCUCAUACCACAUUCUAUUUGUGAAGUGCAACCUUGCUGGUCCUAACUUGCUUGUGUGGAGUUUGCUUUCUAUG